GUCAUUUUCUCUUAUUGAUAAAUACUAUGAUGAAAUGUCUUUUGAUGACACAAAUGGUUUUCCAAUCUGGUUGAACUCUUUUAUGUCAAGCACAGUAUUUUGCAGUCAUGAUGAUGCUACAAUUUGCAGAACGCACAUAGCUUAGUUGGGUGCAACUGAAAGGAGACAGCAAACAUGCUAAGUGUGUGACAUGUGACAAUGCGAAUUUGAGUCUGUUACUUGGAACAGUAGCCUCCAACCCAGCAGUUCCCCUCCUCACUCUUUCCCCUGGUCUCCCCCAAAUUGAUGUCCUGGUGGUGGAGCACCUCCUUGGUCUGCUCAGCAUGAAGAAAUGGAGUAUUGAUCACCGGAAGUGCCCUUUGUGCUGGCUGGCUGUGAAGACUAUAGGGCAGAUUCCAGAUUCUGAUCUACAGGGUCUGUCUUUUGAAAACAACAACAACAACAACAACAACAACAAAAAACCCAAAAAAACCUACCUCAGCCACCAGCAGCUGGUGACAACUAGCUUGGGAGCUCUGGCUCUCCUAAACCCUACCUGAUUGCCCCAAACACUAAAAAGAUCAAUAAUCCGUGCCUACUUCUAAUCCAUUGAAAGCACCCCAGUGUGUCAGGACCCAUGGACUGGAAAGCUCUGCUUUAUCUAUGAAAUCUUUCACUAGAAUUCCAUGAGGAGAUGGCAGGAAAUUUUGCCAUUUGAGGCCUUCAGAAGAAGGAUGUCUCACUGGCACUCUUGCUGGCUGUCUCUCAACCCCUCUCUCUAAAGUGCUCUCAGUAUUUGUUCUUCAGCCCCUCCAGCAUUCCCACUUCUUUGGGAAACUGUACUCGUGUCCUCAAGAGAAGGUUUUGGUUUCUUCAUCUGAGUAGAGAUGGAUGCUUGCCACUACCCAGGGCAGCCAGGCUUUGAGGCUGAAGCCUAUGGGUGGCGUGACCUGCCUGCUGCUGAGUACAGCAGUACUUCUGUUCCUACCCCCAAUACUUAGAGAGGUUUCUGCGCCAGCAUAUGUCUCAGCCACUAUGGCACCCAGGAUGGGGUUGGACUGCUGGACUCCUAGCAAUGCUGUGUUUUAGCAACAGGGACAACAGCUGAAGAAAACAUUUCCUAGGUGGACUGAGCGGGCUUCCAGCUUUCUUUCCUCAAGUCGACAGAAGCCAGUACUGACCCUUUGAAAUGAGUAUGACCCCUGAGUUUCAUAGGACCCUUGCAAGAGGAGGCACCCUAGAGAGUGAAGAAGCAUAUUCUAAUGAUGGAAACAUCUGAAUUCAUAGCACACGUAGCUCCUGACCCGCAGCCAAAUGUGUCUUUGAACUGGACUUUGGUUUCAACUGCCAAUCGCUUUGUACACAAAUGUUAUUGAUUCCCUCCAGAGGCAGCCAUGUGUGGUGGAAGAAACGGCAUGAGGCUGGAGCUCCCUCUCUCCUGGGCCUCGGUUUACCUGCAUGCAGAAAGAGGACAGCCUUUCGAUUCCAACAGAAAAUCAGAAGGCUCCUUCCACCUUCUGAUUGGAGUGCAGAGCCUUUGUGUGGUUUGUGCGGUGGGCGUGGCUGUUCCAAACCAAAGGGCAGGGACAGGAUGCAGUCUGAUGAUCAGGGACAGAGGAGGAGUGGCUGAGCAGCCCUGCGCAUUGUGGCUUCCUCACUCCUUGGCCCUAGAUUUCCCAGGCUGUUUAAGUUCAUGAUCCUAGGGCACCGCCUGUCCGCCCCCCCACCCCCCACCGUCACACACCCCAUGCCAUUCAAGGUUUCUUUCCCAGGGUCGGCUUUAAAGCCAGCGGAAGAUUUUCAGAGGUCUCGGAUCUUCUUAUUUCUGACCCUCUUGACAUCUGACGCCUGAAAAGAACUUGGGUUGCCUGCCUAGGCAGGCUUCCGGAGGCCACAGGCUUCUGUGUCUUCCGGGGCGGGGGGCAGAAGGGUGCCCGAGCCGGCGCAGGCGGCCAUUGUUUGGGUGUUGACUCAAAGGAGCGGGAGCCACAAUGCACAGGAAAAAGGAUGAGCUCAUGACUGCUAAAUGAAUAGAUUCUUAUCUUGGAAACAGCGGUUUCUUAUGCAAAACAGGGGGCGGCAAUGUGAUUGUGCCCCGCGGAGUACAUUCAACAACAGGGAUUUCAAAUGAAGAAGCUAUUUUGCAUACCUACGGGAGCAGCAAUGGGCCAGAUUGUUCAUUAAUUAAAAAGGGGGGGGGGCGGGCGCCGGAAAAACCCACGCUCGCACUUGCCGCUGAACCGAAAUAAUUCAUUUGCCUUCCUCUCAGUCCCAGUUGAUCAGCUUGGAGACAAAUGUUUUUUCAACUCUAGGCCCCUCCAGAGACGGGAAGGGAGGGGAGAGGAGGAGGGAGGGCGAGAGUAGGGAUGAGGCGGUGAGGUCGUGGCGAGGAAGGGAGGAGUGUCGCAGAUAACGGUGAUUUCUCAACCAGUUGUGUUUGGCGUUCAAAUGUAUUGUGCAGAGGUGGUCGGGUUUUGUUGCCAUUUCUUCCCCACCCAGGAGAUUUACCUUCUGGCUCUGUUCGAUUUCACCUGAAAGAAGUCUGAGCAAAUCCCCGCUGAUGGGGAGGAAAGAAGAGAAGAGCAAGGAAGAGGGUGGGUGUGGGGGAGACUUGGAAUGUGUUCUCUAACUACAGCCCCCCUCCCCCCAUUUCCCCAGCACUGACAUGUGCUCCCCUGGGACUAGAACUGCGGCUGUCCCGGAAAUUCCAGAAUGUGGGUCACCCACUGAAUGGGUAAUGCCACAAGUGGAGAGAGUUGAAUGUGGUUCGGGUGGAAGGCACCAACGCCUCCCACGCAUCUUUCCUACUAGCCAGGUUGCUCUCCUUCUACUACCCUACAUGAUCUUCUGAUUAGGAAUAAGAAUGGUUAUCAUCGUAUCAAGCCCUCUCAGACGCAUUACUUCCUAUGUUAUCUCUCAUCGCUGUGUUAUACAGACACUUUCGCUUGUGUUUGUGUAUGAGAGCUUUGCAGGUAGGCUGGGAAAUAACUGAGUAUUAGUGCUCGGGUCUUAGAAAUGAGGGGACUGAGGCUCCGAGACACUGAGUGGGUUAGCCAAGACUGUGCAACUUGGAUAUUGCAGUUACCAUUUAAACUCACAUUGGUCUGAUGCCAAAACCUGUGCCUUAAAACGAAUGCAGCACUGUAUGUUAACUAUGCUGGAAUUGGAAUUAAAAACUUAAUCACACACACAAACACCCAAACUUGUGCCCUAAACUACUGCGCGAUGCUAACUCUCCUCCCUUCCCCCCUCCCUCCCUCAGCUGUAUUUGCCCAGCUGCUACCAAAGGGCCGAGGUUGGCCUUCUGGCAAGCAGGGCAGUGACGGAGACCCUUCCUGAAUAGGAAGAACACUCCCCCUGAGCACACAUACCCUUCCGCGUGGAAGACAAGCUGAACUCAGCGCCCAUCUUACCAGCUCAGAUGGAAGAAUGAACACGUCACCUCCAAGCACAGCGCGACUGCCCAAGGAGCACACAGGCCUAGCCCCAAGACAUAGGAAUGCUUGCUUAUCAUUCAAAGGAACCUGUAGGACAAGUAGUUAAUCAGCACUGCCCUAGAGAUACAAUCACCAGAUGUACCUAAUGAAAUCUCUAACAUAAAAAUUAAAGAUAUUUUUCAGGUUCCAAAUCGUUCGAAGUGGCACCAGAGCAGCUGCUAGCAGACUUCAUGGGCCUCCAAUCAACUGUGUCCAUCUUCUCAGAAGACCCCUGCCCAAAUUUUGCCCUUAAAAACCCUCAUUUGCAAGCCACUGGGGAGCUCAGGACUUUUAAGCAUUAGCUCUGUGUUCUCCUGGGUGAUGCCACAGCAAUGAAUCGCCUUUCUUUAUCACAAAAUCUCCGUGGUUGUUUUUAUUGGUUUGCUGUGUGUUGAGUGGAUAAACUUUCAUUUGGUUUAGUUAGAAGGUAAGGAAGCGAGCCUGGUAAAUCCAUUCCCUACCACAGGCUCACCAGUAUGAUCCCUGUAUUUUAAAGUCAGGUUUAUUGAAGGGUAAAUUUCAUACUGUAAUAGUCUCUUUUUUCAAGUAAACAUAUAAAUGAAUUUCAAACAAAUGUAUAUUGUUGUGUCACCACAAACACAGUCAAGAAUAUUUUCAUUACCCCCAAAGUUCUUUUGUGCCCUUCUGCAGUCAGCCCUUUCCCCCUAUAUCCAACUUCUGGCAACCACUGAUCUAUCUUCUACUCCCACAGUUUUUUUUUUUUAAAAU